CACGUAGGGUGCGAGCGUUGUCCGGAAUUAUUGGGCGUAAAGAGCUCGUAGGCGGUCUGUCGCGUCGGCUGUGAAAACCCGGGGCUCAACCCCGGGCCUGCAGUCGAUACGGGCAGACUAGAGUGCGGUAGGGGGAUGCGGAAUUCCGGGUGUAGUGGUGGAAUGCGUAGAGAUCCGGAGGAACACCAGCGGCGAAGGCGGCAUCCUGGACUGGUCCUGACACUCAGGAGCGAAAGCGUGGGGAGCGAUCCGG
rnacentral:rRNA from 1 species